ensembl:lncRNA
AAAAAAUUAAAAAUCUUUACUUUACAAAGUACUUAUUAUUCAGUGCUUUACAGUGGAAUGACUGUAAAUUACAGUGGUUUUGUUUCUCUGCUGUGUUGUGAUUUCCCAUCAGUCACAUGACCCGUAUCUGAGAUCAUAUCUCUGAUAUCUCAUAGCUUAUGUGUUAAAUACUUUCAGUUUUGUUUUGAUGCCUGAUCAAAAGGUUAAAUUGGAACAUUUACCAUGUUCAGAUGGCUGAAUAUGCUGCUGCUGUUUUGCUUUAUCAAUUAUAGAGAAACAACCAUAGGAAAUAUCCUUAUACACGUGACAGGACAAAAAGGAGAAGAUGUCACCCUGCCAUGUGAUAUUCAAGCCAGAGAGAUUUUUCAUUUCAUUUUAACCAGUCUGUCAAAAAGCAUCUUUGUUUGUCAGAAUGAAGAGUGUACGAGUAGCCGAGUAUUUAAAAAAGGAGCCUGUGACAUCAUCAUCAAGGAUCUGAGACUGAGUGAUGCUGGGAAAUACAUUUUGAGAGUCCAUUACAAUAAUACUGCAGAGCCACAAAUCAGGGAGUACCAUCUUCAAAUUCAAGAUGAAAUUUCUGUGAAAACAGGCGAGCAGGUGAAGUUGGAUGUUUUGUUUUCCCGUGCUGAUAAAGUAGAGACAAACUCCAGUGGAGAGUGGAGGGAGGUGUGGAAGAGAGGUCAUGGGGUCUGGAGUGAACGAAUGACUGACCGUGAUGGGAACUUGACCAUUAAAGAGUUUACAUCCAAUGAUACAGGAACAUACAGGGUUCUGGACUCUGAAGGAGAAAUCUUGAUCACAGUGACUGUCACAGAAUCUAGUACAGAAUCUGACUCAAAGAGGACAGAUGAUGACAAACCUUAUGACUCUGAACAGCAUACUGUAAAGAUUGUGAUUGGUGUACUGACUGUGUUUGGAGUUCUGGGGGUUCUGGCUCUUAUAAUUUUUGUAAGAAAAAUUAUAAACCUACCUGCAAAUGGAGGUUUCUUGCCAGUCCGCUGGAUAAGAGGGACACCUGAAGACUCAUAAUAUUCUCUCCUGAGGUACAUCUCUGCCAUUGCAGAACAUCUACUGGUGUUCAUCAACUGGUUACUUGAAAUUCACCUUCAGAGCCAACAGAUCAACACAGGAUUCUGUCAACAUACCGAAUGUCUGCAAUGUGUGCAAUAGUUAUCAGCUGUAAAUGUGAAACUGACAAUAUCGACAUUAUCUAAACGCCACUUCAGAUGCAGCUUCUGUGCCAAAGAUGGAUUUUGUUGAUUUCUUUUGAUUUGUAACAGCCUAAUUGUGUCUUAUACUAACUUAUUAUGGAUUAAAUGUAGGAAUUUGUCAUAAAAGAUAAUGCCUUUAUCUAAACAGGUUGGACAAAAUGCCCAUAUAAAGAUAAAAAAAUGCCCCGGGAAAUUAAUUUAAGAGAGAAAAUGUUACAUUUAAUGCAGAUAAGAAUAUGAAAAGCUUUUUUUGUAAGACAGGCCUAAACCAGUCAAGACAAACCAGCACAAAAACUCUAAGCAAAAUAUCAUCUAAUUAUCAUUAUCAACAAAAUGCCAGAAAAUACUGAGAUAUCAUAUGUGCGUAACUGAGAACAAUAUUUAAUAUGUAUGCUUUGUACAAAUGUGUUGAAAAAAUAUGUCAAGAUGAGGAAGAAUGUGUCCAAAGUUAAGUCUGUGUUCCUGACAAGUUAAACAACUUAUUCUUAUUUUAAGAAAAAAUAAACUAGGUCGAAAAAAAAACA